CGAGUAGCUCUGUUUGCAAAAUUGAGCUACUUUUUACCGCGCGCGACAAAAAGUAGCUCAAUUUUGCAAACAGAGCUACUCU
rnacentral:pre_miRNA from 1 species